GUGCUUCAUUCCUGUUAAAAACAAAGCUGAGAGGAUACCACUCUGAUUAUAUUAACCUGUUUCUAAAGAGAUGAGAAUUUUCCAGUAUUUUUCAUGCAUCAGACUUCUGCCCACAAAAAGGAGAUAUUUAGCUAUUUCCUGUUAUGCUAUGCUCUGCUGCUUUAGAUAUCUGCAAGCUUCUGAUAAAGAUUCACUCCUAGCAUGGGAACUGCAGAGAUUUGACAGACUUUGGGGACUUAAUUAGAAGAACUCUCCUUUGGCGUUCUUGCCACCAAUGAUUAAAAUCUCAAGCAAAUCUUUAAGACCUAGAGAAAGCUACGGGAUGCAUUGGGAACAUUGGCAGUUGUUGGAAAAUCCAACAGAAAAGGAUGAGCACUGAGAACACACAAGCUAUAUAUUAUACUAUAUAUAAUAUAGAGGGUGAUAUUUCUUAAGAUCUGCAAUAUCCAGACGUACUUUUAUUCAUGACACUAGAUUCCAGGACUGAGGAUACUUGGAAAAGUGACCUGUUGUUGGCUCCACACAGUAACUGUUAGCCAUCAGUAUAUCUCACCUUAGGUCUGCUGGAAUGGCAGGAUAUGAGAAAGUAGUUAUAGCCUAGGACAUUUAAUAUAGUGUGCCUGACUCAAAAUAGUGUUUGUAGUAUUGCUUGAAUCUAUUUGUGUCAGCAGUUGCUACAAAGAAGGUAGCUCCUGUGGGUAAUGAAUUUUCUGAAGAUCCUAAAAAUAGAUCUCUUUCCUUUAUUUUCCUUCUGACUGGGGAAAAAAAAAAAAAAAAAUUGCAAUAAAUAUUCUUUUAAAAAUGUAAAAUACAAUUAUUGCCUUGUAAGGAUAAAAAAAAAUGAUAUGAUAAAAGCAUGGUCCACCUUCACUGAUUCAGAAGUAUUCUACAUUACUGAGAUACUCUGUGUCUUUUUGUCCCAGUUCUGAUUUUGGAGAGAGUGCCAUGAUCUUGACUGAGCUUUCCUGGUUGUAGUUUCUUGUAUGUGAUGCAACAAAUCUAAUACAGAGUGGAAGAUUAUAUCACUCACUGGGAUAUCUGUUAAUUGUGACAGAGGAGAAAGAAUGGCAGGUUAGUUCAACAGUAGUAGUUAUUAAAAAAUAAACAUAUAAAUAUAUGUUGGAACAAAAUAAAAUUAAAACAAAUGUAUACAUAAGUAUGUGUCAACAGCAAUAAACAUAGGUAGUGUUUCUUGUAUAAUCAUCAAGUGUGCUGAAAUAUCUUUUGCAGUGCAGCUUUAAUUCAAUUCUGACAAGGAAGUCCACAAAAUGAAAAAGUACCAUUUAGAAAUAGCUUUUUGUACAUAGUUGUAGUUACAGGAACACAGACAAUAACUGUAAUACUUUUCAGCCAGCAGUAUUUAUUACAUUUUAUAAUUUUAAAA